rnacentral:rRNA from 1 species
CCCUUAGAUGUUCUGGGCUGCACGCGUGUUACAAUCGGGCGUACAACAAGAUUGCAAAUCCUAGUGGAUGAGUGGUUCUUCGAAAUUUUCUGAAGACUGGGAUAGUUGAUUGAAAUUAUUCAACUCGAACGAGGAAUUCCUUGUAAUUGUAAUUCAUUAUAUUGUAAUGAAUACGUCCCUGCCCUUUGUACACACCGCCCGUCGCUCCUACCGAUUGAACGAUCCGGUGAAUUAUUUGGAGUAGCUCUGGAAGUUGCAGAACUUCCUAUGUCACGAAAUUUUGUAAACCUUAUCGUUUAGAGGAAGGAAAAGUCGUAACA